GAUCCUGGCUCAGAAUCAACGCUGGCGGCGUGCCUAACACAUGCAAGUCGAACGAGAAAGUGGAGCAAUCCAUGAGUAAAGUGGCGACCGGGUGAGUAACACGUGACUAACCUACCUUCGAGUGGGGGAUAACCUCGGGAAACCGAGGCUAAUACCGCAUAACAUCGCAAGAUCAAAGCAGCAAUGCGCUGGAAGAGGGGGUCGCGGCUGAUUAGCUAGUUGGCGGGGUAACGGCCCACCAAGGCGAAGAUCGGUAUCCGGCCUGAGAGGGCGCACGGACACACUGGAACUGAAACACGGUCCAGACUCCUACGGGAGGCA
rnacentral:rRNA from 1 species